CGACUCUGGUUUCUCUUCCUGCUGCCACAAGUCUUUAGCCUUUUUACUAAAGACCAGUGGAGAGGAACAAAUAUGAGUUGAAUAUAUUUUUACAGCAGGCUUUGCUGUAUGU